AGAACGAACGCUGGCGGCGCGCUUAACACAUGCAAGUCGGACGCUCCCUUCGGGGGGAGUGGCGGACGGGUGAGUAACGCGUGGGAACCUGCCCUGGAGUUCGGGACAACCGCGGGAAACUGCGGCUAACACCGGAUACGCCCCUGGUAGAGAUAUUGGGGGGAAAGUUUACGCUCUGGGAUGGGCCCGCGUCGGAUUAGCUUGUUGGUGGGGUAACGGCCUACCAAGGCAUCGAUCCGUAGCUGGUCUGAGAGGAUGGCCAGCCACACUGGGACUGAGACACGGCCCAGACUCCUACGGGAGGCAGCAGUGGGGAAUCUUGGACAAUGGGCGCAAGCCUGAUCCAGCGACGCCGCGUGGGUGACGAAGGCCUUCGGGUUGUAAAGCCCUUUUCUCGGGGGCGAUGAUGACGGUACCCGAGGAAUAAGCACCGGCUAACUCCGUGCCAGCAGCCGC
rnacentral:rRNA from 1 species